rnacentral:rRNA from 1 species
AUGUUGGCCGGGCGACGGUUGUCCCGGUUUAAGCGUGUAGGCUGGUUUUCCAGGCAAAUCCGGAAAACUAAGGCUGAGGCGUGAUGACGAGGCACUACGGUGCUGAAGCAACAAAUGCCCUGCUUCCAGGAAAAGCCUCUAAGCAUCAGGUAACAUCAAAUCGUACCCCAAACCGACACAGGUGGUCAGGUAGAGAAUACCAAGGCGCUUGAGAGAACUCGGGUGAAGGAACUAGGCAAAAUGGUGCCGUAACUUCGGGAGAAGGCACGCUGAUAUGUAGGUGAAGUCCCUCGCGGAUGGAGCUGAAAUCAGUCGAAGAUACCAGCUGGCUGCAACUGUUUAUUAAAAACACAGCACUGUGCAAACACGAAAGUGGACGUAUACGGUGUGACGCCUGCCCGG